rnacentral:rRNA from 1 species
CCAAUAGCGUAUAUUAAAGUUGUUGCAGUUAAAAAGCUCGUAGUUGAAUUUCGGGAUCAAUUUGUUGGUCGUGCCUCGGUACGUACUGGCAUUAUUGGUUUCUACCUUCUGAAGAACCUUGAUGUCAUUAAUUUGGUGUCUUGGGGAAUCAGGACUGUUACUUUGAAAAAAUUAGAGUGUUUAAAGCAGGCAUACGCUUGCAUACAUUAGCAUGGUAUAAUGAAAUAGGACGUUUGAUUCUAUUUUGUUGGUUUCUCGGAUCGACGUAAUGAUUAAUAGGGAUAGUUGGGGGCAUUAGUAUUCAAUUGUCAGAGGGGAAAAUCUUGGGUUUAUUGAAGACUAACUACUGCGAAAGCAUUUGCCAAGGAUGGUUUCAUUAAUCAAGAACGAAAGUUAGGGGAUCGAAGACGAUCAGAUACCGUCGUAGUCUUAACCAUAAACUAUGCCGACUAGGGAUCGGAUGAUGUUAUUUUUAAUGACUCAUUCGGCGCCUUACG